rnacentral:lncRNA from 1 species
AAAAAAAUAAACCUUUCAAAUAUAGAGUUCAUAAGAUACAAAUAUUCCCUUUGAACCCCCCCCCCUUUUUAUUUGUGCUCUCUAUUUUCAACCCUCGAAUUAAGCUUUCGAAUCUAAUUAAAAUUAAAACCUUGCUUUCUAACCAAUCUAUUCAUGUACCGGACCGGCAACUUUCUUUAUUUAAUACGAAAAUCUACAGUGCCGUUAUACACAUGCAUGUUGUUUGCUUGGAGUCUCCG